AAGCCAGACUCCUACGGGAGGCAGCAGUGAGGAAUAUUGGUCAAUGGCCGAGAGGCUGAACCAGCCAAGUCGCGUGAGGGAAGACGGCCCUACGGGUUGUAAACCUCUUUUGUCGGGGAGCAAAGCGAACCACGUGUGGUUCAUUGAGAGUACCCGAAGAAAAAGCAUCGGCUAACUCCGUGCCAGCAGCCGCGGUAAUACGGAGGAUGCGAGCGUUAUCCGGAUUUAUUGGGUUUAAAGGGUGCGUAGGCGGAAUAUCAAGUCAGCGGUAAAAAUUCGGGGCUCAACCCCGUCGUGCCGUUGAAACUGAUGUUCUUGAGUGGGCGAGAAGUAUGCGGAAUGCGUGGUGUAGCGGUGAAAUGCAUAGAUAUCACGCAGAACUCCGAUUGCGAAGGCAGUUCACUGGACUGCAACUGACACUGAGGCUCGAAAGUGUGGGUAUCAAACAGGAUUAGAUACCCGCGUAGU
rnacentral:rRNA from 1 species